rnacentral:rRNA from 1 species
UACGGAGGGAGCUAGCGUUGUUCGGAAUUACUGGGCGUAAAGCGCGCGUAGGCGGCUUUGUAAGUUAGAGGUGAAAGCCCGGGGCUCAACCCCGGAACUGCCUUUAAGACUGCAUCGCUUGAAUCCAGGAGAGGUGAGUGGAAUUCCGAGUGUAGAGGUGAAAUUCGUAGAUAUUCGGAAGAACACCAGUGGCGAAGGCGGCUCACUGGACUGGUAUU